UUAGGGACAUUCAUCAGACAUUAUUCCUCGUUCAUAAGGAAAAUAAAAUCGAGAAUGAAAUUCAGUCCACGGCUGUGGCGCCCCACAGCGUUAAAUCCACCGCGCGUGUUUAGCACCGGUAAUUUGUUUAAAGCAACAGACGACGCGCCCCCAAAAUUUACUCUCAUCUGACUCUGUUCAAAGCAUCGUUCUUUGGGAGAAAGAUCGAAACGGAUCCCUCAACUAUCAGUCUCCCUCGAAAGAUUCUUCUCUGUUUCAAUCACAUUAGAACCAGCAACCUCAACUAUUUUCUUCUUCUUGUUUUCUUCGGUUCUUCUUGUUUCUUCGGUUCUUCUUGUGCUUCGAUCGAAGCCCAAAAUGGCUUGGUGCUUGGAGAAACUCGACGUUGCCGUCUUUGAAGUUGCCCAGUUGGGCUACUGUUUUUGUAGCUGAACAAAGACGGGGAUCGGUGGAAGAUGAGAUUCUCGAAGUGGGUUUUUGUUGGGCUGGUUUGUACGGCUUUGGUUUUGGAGUUUGGUUCUGGGGAGGAAGCUCGAAUUGAGAGGAUUUCAUGUAGGUAAACUGUAAAGACUUCAUUUUUAGAUGGAAACUUUGUAUUUGUCGUACUGGGUUUGGUUGCUUAGUUAUAGUGUGCACUGCUAUCUAAAUUAGUUCAAUUGGACAUGUCUGUUGGAUGUUAGUUUAGCUGUACGAGUUGUUUGUUCUUCUUCUUAGUUUUGAUUUUGGCAAUAUUGAUCUUAUUCUAGGAAAUUACUGGUAUGUGAUUCAUAGUUUUGAUUCGGCAUUUUGAGUGUUGAUUGUGUUGAGUUGUUCUCUGUCUGGAAUGAUUACUUGUUUAAGCUUUUUCUGAUUGGAGACUCUGGGGUUGAGAAGUCGUGUCUUCUUCUAAAGUUUGCUGUAAGUUGUCGACACUCUUGCUAUAUUGUCUCUAAAAGUCUAGACUCUGCAUCAUUGUUUUUACUUGCUGGAAUCAAAAGUAAAUCGCUAGUCUGAUUACUACUUAGUAGUUGAAAUGAAUUCCCGGCUGCAUCACUAGUUUGUUCUAUAUACAUGCGCCAUUUGGUCUGAAUUAUCCUGGAUUUUGGUAGUUAUACUGUUACACUAAUUGGUAAAUAGGGUUCCAUGAAGGAUGAGACCUGGAUCUUAUCCGCAGUUGUAUUUUUCACCAGAUUAGUUAUCUGAAGUCCCUUAUUUCAUCAAGAGAAUAACCCUAAAUAGUUAUUGAGCUAUGCGGAAGCCUGAAAAUUAUAGCUUUCUGUGUGCUCUGUGAGAUUUGGUAUGUGACUUGAUAAGUUAUGACUUAUGACAGAGAAUGUAGUGUUUUUAUGCAAAAUAUUGCUUGUGUUAUUUGGUUGCAGAUUUGAUUAAUUCUACCUGCUUUAUUUGUUUGGGCGUCUAUUGUUACUGCUGUUUGAUUAAUUCUCAUCUUUUCAUGUUGAGCGCGAUGUGUUUAUUGAAUUGCCUGUGCACUGAUGUAUAUUCUCUUGGUCGAAACUUGAAAGUGAGGGACUGUUCAUGUGCUUGAAAAUCUUCAUCUAGAAACUGCAUGUUUGGCUUACCAUUCCACCAUUUCUUACUCUAGGACAACCCAUUGAAAAUAUUAUUUGCAAUAGUCUCAGGAAUUGCAGAUGUUUGAGUGGUACUGUUAAGGCAGCAUCAUUGACUAAUGCGCAUGAGAAAUAGAGUAAAUAAUCUGAGAAAGGCUUUGCAGAAUGUGUGACACAGUAUCUGGUGGACAAAAUUGAUCUCUCCCGGAAUUAGAGUAGAAUCUUGGAGGGCAAUUUAGAAUUAUAAGAAUGCCUUGGACACUAUCAGAUAUUCAGAUACACAGUGGGAUAGUGCUGGACAAUAACGUUUUUGGACAAUCACUAGAAGCUACUACUGUGGGGCACAUGGCAUCAUAGUAAGUUUCUUCCUUCUUUCCAAUAUGUUUCUGUCAUUUCGGUGCUCACAAUUUCGGCUCAAGUUCUGGUAUAGUGGUUUUUGCUGAACUGUUUUGGUGCAUGUUGCAUAUAGUCAAGUUCUGGAAUGAAUUAUUCUGUUUUUCGGUUUCUUUUCUGGGGAAUCCUCUGAAGGCUUCUUCCUCUUCUCAUCCUUCUAGUUCAAAUAAUAGAUAUUUGUCAACAAAUCUCAUUGGCAGUAUUGGAGGGGAUAAACUUGCAGCUAAAACUUCAUUUAUUUCAAAUCUAAAGAAAAGAAUGUUCUAGGAUAAGAGUGAUAAUUGCCAGCUAUUUCUAUUUUAAAUCUAAACUAUUUACUAAAAUUAUUGAAUCUGUGAGUAUCUGAGAUAAGUUUUAUGGUUUUAGGAAGGCUUCUACUACCACCAUGCAGAACGAGAAUAUGCAAUGUUGACAUACUGGAUCCCAUAAGGGCCUAGCAUGCUUCGGGCUAAUGCUUCACAUCCCAAAAAAAGGAAGUAUAUGCUUUUGAUGUUCAAGUAGAUAGGACUUUUCUUAUUUUUAAUGUUGGCUUUGGAGGAUGGGAAAUCUUCCCGUGUAUCAUUUUUGAAUGUUUCUUCUAAUACUAUGAAUUGAAUAAUAAGAUUCAA